rnacentral:tRNA from 2 species
GGGCGGAUGGUUUAGUUGGUAUAAUGUUCGCUUCGCAUUUUCGUGGCUGCGAAAGGUCCGGGGUUCGAUUCCCCGUUCGUCCA